AACGCCGUGGUCGCGCCGAUGGUCACGUCGACGGUUUCCGGCC
rnacentral:sRNA from 1 species